rnacentral:rRNA from 1 species
UACGUAGGGGGCAAGCGUUGUCCGGAUUUAUUGGGCGUAAAGCGCUCGCAGGUGGUUCAUUGCGUCGGGCGUGAAAGACCCCGGCUCAACUGGGGAGUGUCGUGCGAUACGGGCGGACUGGAGGCCAGUAGGGGGAUGCGGAAUUCCGGGUGUAGUGGUGGAAUGCGUAGAGAUCCGGAGGAACACCAGCGGCGAAGGCGGCAUCCUGGACAAGUACUGACACUCAACUACGAAAGCGUGGGGAGCAAACAGG